GCUCCACUAGCUCAGUAGGCAGAGCGUCAGUCUCAUAAUCUGAAGGUCGACAGUUCGAACCUGCCGUGGAGCA
rnacentral:tRNA from 1 species